UACAGAGGGUGCGAGCGUUGUCCGGAAUCACUGGGCGUAAAGGGCGCGUAGGCGGCUUGAUAAGGUUGCGGUGAAAGCCUGGGGCUCAACCCCGGGUCGGCCGUGGCAACUGUCGAGCUGGAGCACUGUAGAGGCAGGUGGAAUUCCGGGUGUAGCGGUGGAAUGCGUAGAGAUCCGGAAGAACACCGGUGGCGAAGGCGGCCUGCUGGGCAGUGGCUGACGCUGAGGCGCGACAGCGUGGGGAGCAAACGGG
rnacentral:rRNA from 1 species